rfam:Phytophthora infestans T30-4 supercont1.189 genomic scaffold, whole genome shotgun sequence.
UCGCUUUUAGCUCAGUGGUCGAGCGUUGGCUUUGGAAGCCACAGGUCGGUGGUUCGAACCCGCCAGGGCACA